AAAAUUCGCAAUAGACCAAAUCAAAAAUUUUUUUUAAAUUUCGUGUUCCCUUUCGGCCAUUGCAAGCUCCAAUCAAAAUAACUGGGCAGGUAAACAAUAAACAGGGCAAAUAUAGCUAAGCAGAAGACAAAGAGACAGUGCGAAAGAAAGAAAGACAAGAGAAACUCAAGUGAACAAUAAUAG